AGGAAAACCUAACUUAGAUUUAGAGAUUUGAUCCUGCUGGCUCAGGCUGUACAAAGUCUUACUCAAGAGAAGUUACCGAGUCCGAUCGUCAUGUUAUUCUUAAGCUUGAUUUAAGAGAGUAGAGCAACUUUAUGAAGGGUCCUAAUUCUGCAGACUGCAGACUGCAGGCUCCCCAUGGCGAUGUUCAGCGAGCUUCUGGGGAAUUUUGAGCAGAAUCAUUCAGCGAUCCACCCAGAAAUGCCCAUGAGAUUUGAAGUUAGCCUGGAAAUCUUUCAAAGGACACCAAAGAUAACUGCGCUGGGUCUUCUAUUGCAUUUCCAUUUUAUGGCAUCUUUUUAUAUUCUGUAGUAGGCUUUUCUGAAUAAAAAUGAGACAGCCUCUUAAGAGGCCUUUUUAUUAUUUGCAUUUGGCAAAAACAGCCUUAAUGAGCUGUUAAGAGUCAUUCCCCAGUCCUAUUGUUGGCGAUGCAUGGGAGCCUGUAAAGUGUUGAAAAGCCAAAAGACAAUUUAUGAUCCCUGAUGCUAUCCCUUCCUGAGACAAUUCUUCAGAAAGGAAGAUAUCUGGAGAGUAGGAAGUCCCAUUAUUUAAAUGCCUGAGUAACUUUUACUGGAGUCAUAACUGUGGAAUUUGCUAUUUUCAUUUCAGAACUGUUUACACUCUCUGUAUUCCCCUUAAAAGCAGCAAUGUCAUGCCUGCGCUGCAUGCUCAUUCCAAUCUGCAGCACUAGAGAAUAGGAAGAUGACUCAAGAAAAAUUCCCCAUUCAUUCCUGGGAUUGAAUAAAUAGGACCAAAUUCCAAGCAGACACUAAUCAAUUUACAAAACUCUUGGGUUUUUUCCCAAGCAGCGCUCAUGCUUAAUAUGUGGAGGCAGUGGUCCCUUUGUCAGCACUAGUCGCGUUAGCCUGGUCCACACAGAUCUGGAAAGUGUAAAGGAACCCAAAUUUACUGACAUAUGGGACAAGAGGGUUAUUCAGCACAGUGGGAAAAAAUGAAACAAAGAGUUUCGCAAGUUUCUGCAGCAGAGGGAUGUGUGGUUCUUGGCAUUGUUUUCGCUUUGAAAAUGGGCAGCAGCCAGUAAAUGUCGGAGGUGUUUGUUAGUGACUGAGGGUGCUGAAGAGACAAUCAAAUAUUUGUGACAAAGGCAAAGACCUUGGACGUUAUCGUUGACACCCAGACGUCUCAAGAAAAGAGCAAAUGUUGCAUUCAUUGUAUUGUCUCUUACUGUAAAUGACAAAAUGACAUCUUUUACCAGGCUCAUGUGUAUUGAUCGGCUUCAGCCCUUACUAACUUAAAUACUGUAAAUGGAUGAGGGAUAUGUUUGUCUGUUUGACAGUAAUUAAGUGAUACUCUCACUGUCUGAACAAAGAGAUGACCCAAUGAGGCCUUACACCAGUGUGACUGUUCCUAUUUUGAGAGAGCUGUAAUCACUUCUACUAUUAAUAAAAACAAGGAAGGCA